AACGAACGCUGGCGGCAGGCUUAACACAUGCAAGUCGAACGCUCGUAGCAAUACGGGAGUGGCAGACGGGUGAGUAACGCGUGGGAACGUGCCCAAAGGUACGGAACAACUCCGGGAAACUGGAGCUAAUACCGUAUGUGCCCGAAAGGGGAAAGAUUUAUCGCCUUUGGAUCGGCCCGCGUCGGAUUAGCUAGUUGGUGGGGUAAAGGCCUACCAAGGCGACGAUCCGUAGCUGGUCUGAGAGGAUGAUCAGCCACACUGGGACUGAGACACGGCCCAGACUCCUACGGGAGGCAGCAGUGGGGAAUAUUGGACAAUGGGCGCAAGCCUGAUCCAGCCAUGCCGCGUGAGUGAUGAAGGCCUUAGGGUUGUAAAGCUCUUUCGCCAGGGACGAUAAUGACGGUACCUGGAUAAGAAGUCCCGGCUAACUUCGUGCCAGCCGCCGCGGUAAUAC
rnacentral:rRNA from 1 species